CAAGUCGAACGAUGAAGCUGGAGCUUGCUCUAGUGGAUUAGUGGCGAACGGGUGAGUAACACGUGAGCAAUCUGCCCUUGACUCUGGGAUAACUGCGGGAAACUGUAGCUAAUACCGGAUACGACACCUUGGGGCAUCCCGAGGUGUGGAAAGAAUUUCGGUCAAGGAUGAGCUCGCGGCCUAUCAGCUUGUUGGUGAGGUAAAAGCUCACCAAGGCGACGACGGGUAGCCGGCCUGAGAGGGUGACCGGCCACACUGGAACUGAGAUACGGUCCAGACUCCUACGGGAGGCUGCAGUGGGGAAUAUUGCACAAUGGGCGCAAGCCUGAUGCAGCAACGCCGCGUGAGGGAUGAAGGCCUUCGGGUUGUAAACCUCUUUUAUCAGGGAAGAAGCGAAAGUGACGGUACCUGAAGAAAAAGCACCGGCUAACUACGUGCCAGCAGCCGCGGUAAUACGUAGGGUGCAAGCGUUGUCCGGAAUUAUUGGGCGUAAAGAGCUCGUAGGCGGUUUGUCGCGUCUGCUGUGAAAAUCCAAGGCUCAACCUUGGACCUGCAGUGGGUACGGGCAGACUAGAGUGCGGUAGGGGAGAUGGGAAUUCCUGGUGUAGCGGUGGAAUGCGCAGAUAUCAGGAGGAACACCAAUGGCGAAGGCACAUCUCUGGGCCGUAACUGACGCUGAGGAGCGAAAGCGUGGGGAGCGAACAGGAUUAGAUACCCUGGUAGUCCACGCCGUAAACGGUGGGUGCUAGUUGUGGGCCACAUUCCACGUGGUCCGUGACGAAGUUAACACAUUAAGCACCCCGCCUGGGGAGUACGGUCGCAAGACUAAAACUCAAAGGAAUUGACGG
rnacentral:rRNA from 1 species